CAUGAUUGAUCUGAAGUGAAUGGGAGAUUAGCAGGCUGCAGACGUGUAAUAACACAAUAUCUUCUCACUGACCGCUGCCUAAAGAAGGUCACAUCUAGAUAUUACAAUUUUCAAUAGACGGGGAUUCGGUUGUAUUAUUUUUACAUGGUGCUGAGAAGGUUAUUGAAAUUUGCCUAAAUGAAGAUCUUGAUUUAUUUUGUGGAAUCUAUGCACUUGUGGGGUUUGCCAAACUUUUAGCCAUCCAAUCCAAAUUGCAUUUUGCAAUACCCUUUCCAGCUGUGAUGUCCCUUUUAUCAACCUCAUCUUGUUCUGGAAGUAUGAGAUCUUUACCUCCUGAAUCACUUUCUAAGCGGUGGAGAGGGAAUAUUGUUUCAUGGAAAGAUCGUCCGCUAGACUUAAGCAAAGAGUAUGGUUCUUAAAAUGAGAGGGAAAUGAGAGGGACGAAGGGAAUAUAAGUUCUAAUAAGUAAUAAGAACCAGAUCGGCAGAUCCUUGAAUCACGUAUGUCCGAGGAUAACCAUAAUGGAAGUGAGGAAACAUCGACGUCAGACUGUUGAGGCUCUCUUUAUUAUUUAACUGAAUUCUAAAUAGCUUCUCAAAUUUAAGAUUGAGAUUUUGGAUUCUCUAAACCCAGCUUCGACCCGGCUAUAUCAACAUCGGGGCAGGAAAAUAGGCUCUUAAGAACUUGAACGGGCUUGGUUUAUUCUCCAGCAUAGAAGUGAAUCCGUCCCAUGAUGAAACCAAAUAAGGGGGUGUACCGGUGGAAGUCAAAACAAUAGCACCCUUUGGCUCACUAUAAUAACCGUUUUUGUUUGAACUCACAAGUCUUUAAGCUUCAGAAGAUUUAUUAGCAAUACAACAGUACCCUGUGUCUCACUGUAAUAAUUGCCUUUGUUUGAUAUUUGAACUGUUUCAGAAAUGGAUCCAACCUUCUAAGAAGCUGACGAGUAACCCAACCACACGUCUUGUGGAUGGCUUCAUAGGGAGAAUAAAUGAAAAAUUAUGGUUUCCCCUCUUUUAUUUGUACCACAGUUGUAUCUUACAAUUCAGUACAAUGACAACAUUUUGUAUUUCCAUUGUACCAAAGAACUAUGGAGUAAUCUUGAUCUGGAGAUGGAUGACUGUUGUCUAAAUUUUGUAGUAUUGGAUUUUAGCAGCUCUAGCAGGUUUGUUUAGCUUUA